rnacentral:tRNA from 1 species
AUUAAAUUAUCAUAAUCAAUGUUUUAAAUUUAGAAUUUAAAAAAGGAUUUAGACGUCCAUUUAAUA